CUUGGAUAGCGAUUUUUGUUGUUUUCUUGUAAAAGAUGCUCAAAAAUGUUUAUCAGAUGUUCCAAAUAUAAUUCACACUUCUCUAAUCUUCCAGUCUAGGUCUACGGCGCGGACAUAGCGAACGUCUGCGCAUAACUGGAGCUAUUUGGGUACUCAAUAAUUAUUUCUUUAAACCUGCGAACAGCAUGGAAUCUUUGGCUUUGAUUGCAUUAGCGCCACACUAAGCAGCUCACUGAGAUACAAGGCGAUUUUGGGAUAACAACGUUGGCCUUUUGGGUUUGUCUGGCGUGCCGUAUGCUUUAGAGUUCUAGCAGCUUACGCUACUCGGCAAUAUUUUGGUAUCUUCUAUCUUUAUCUGAGCGUGAUCAUAAUGCCAUCACCAAGGACUUAGCUCGCGGCGUAGAUGAGGCCACGAGCUGUGAGCUUCGUUGGAUAUCCUGUGCUGACGAUUCUGCUACUGCUGCUGCCAUGCCCUCCCGAGUGCGGGUAUUCGUAUCUGAAUAAACGAAUUCAAGGACUCUGAUUGAUUUAAAGGACAUUCUGGCAAUCUUUUCCAGGAUUAGACUCGAUUUACCCCAAAUAAAAACAAAAUUAAGAA